UCAGUCGAAUUAAAUUAAAUUGAAUGGGAUUAAGUGUUCUAAUUAAUUGUGGAGGGGUUAAAGUGUACAAUAACUUCUUUGUAAGGGGUAAGAGUGCAAUUUAACAACCCCAAUUUUUUUUUACAGAGAGACCAAUGUUUGUCACCUUCAAUCAUUCACUGCGCCUCUAUCACUAUCCCGUCUUCAAAAUUGUUGCUGCGUUGGAAUUCGAUUCUGUAAUGAGAUUGUUAUGAUCCAUUUAUAUGAUUUCGGAUCCCAGAAGCUUCGUUAAUGUGUGGGAAAUUGUUGGCUUAGCUGCCAAUUGAAGAUAUAACACCGAUUCACUGAGGAAGUCAAGAUUGAAUCAAUCUCCACAUGAUCUUUAAAAUGUUAGUGUACUUUGUGCACUGGCACAGGAACAGAAAGAGGUCGUCUCGUUGGGGCUAUGAAAGCUUUGAUGAGCUGGUACGUAGUUGAGGUGUAUAGUGAUGGGUAACGUUAAAAAUAGCGAAUCGUCAUCUGAGAAACAUUUGUGGGGUUCUCGCCGAACGAGAAAGAUAACUUGGAUUUUUAGACAGAGUCUGUGUUU